CCGCGCUCGGGGCGCCGGCCGGCGGGAGCUCUGCGCGUGCGCACGCUCUCGGCGCUCGCGCGUUUCGGCCGUCCCUCCGGCGUGCUGUCCCCAGCCCUUCUCUUGCGGGCUCGCAGCUGGUUCUGAGCUCGGCGGCGGCAGCGGGAGCGCGCGCCCGGCUGGGGCGGCGCAGGCGUGGUGCAUCCGAACGCCGCGUUCGACUCUGUUUUCCAGCCUGGGGCCUCGACUUCCGAAUUCGCUUGUCCUCCGCUUCCUCCCCGUAGCUCGUUGUUCUUCCCCAACUGCCUGUGCGGGUGUCAGCGUCCCCGGCCGCGAGGGACUCCUCGCACUUCGCUUUCGGGGUGCUGGCACCCAGAGGAACUGGACCGUAAUCAAGGCCUUUAGGUUUCACCCUUACCCUCUCCCCGCAGGAAGACGAUGGAGACGCGGUUGGGGUGGAAAAGCGAACCCCUUAAGUGGAUUAUCAUUCUCCUAGUUGCUGCCUCCUGGGCAUGUGGAGGCAGCGCAGCAAAUUGGCCGGAGAAAACCCAGGAAACUAAGGUCGUUCCCCUCCUGGGCCAGUGACCCCCGCUCGUGGCAGAUUUUCAUCACCUGCCGCCUGCCCUCGCCAGGCGCACUCCCCUCCGCAAUUAGAGGCUCCAGACCCGCGCUGCCGGCCUGGCUCCAUGCCUUGGUAGUGGUGAUUCCAGGCUUGAAACCCAACUCGUGGCCUCUCUGUGCCACACAGCUGUAAUGUGGUAGGGCACUGGCACUGUGUCCAGCUUGGUCAUGGUUUGCACAACUCCUGGCUCUCUUGACAUCCUGUACUUUGGAAACAUGAUAGAGUGCCUUGUGAUGACUUUGCUUGUCUUCGGGGACGACGGACAGGACCCAAAUAAAACCUCGAGGUUUUGCUGCAGAUGAUAUUAGAGUUGGAUGAAUCUUUUUGGGCUAUUCAAGUCGAAGGUCUAGUGCAUACGUUGGUCAAACAAGGGCAUAUUUGUACAAGGUACUUUGGAGAGAACUCAGACCCACUGCACGGCUGGCCAGGGGUUGGCGUUUGCAGAGUCUGGGCAUCACGGAUGUGCCUGAACAUCAGUUCUCCAGGCAGAGGAAGCUGAAAGAGUUGCUGACCCUUGAGAUGAGGCUUUGACAGGCAGAACUGGAGCAAGAGGGAGAACAGAGAGGAUGCCAUGCACAGUCACAGGUACCUCCACAUCUAUGUAGUAAAGAAUUUAACCUUGCCGCAAGAGAGGUCUUGCCCUCAUCCUCAGCUUCUGGGAG